GACGAACGCUGGCGGCGUGCUUAACACAUGCGAGUCGAACGGAAAGGCCCUGCUUUUGUGGGGUGCUCGAGUGGCGAACGGGUGAGUAACACGUGAGUAACCUGCCCUUGACUUUGGGAUAACUUCAGGAAACUGGGGCUAAUACCGGAUAGGAGCUCCUGCUGCAUGGUGGGGGUUGGAAAGUUUCGGCGGUUGGGGAUGGACUCGCGGCUUAUCAGCUUGUUGGUGGGGUAGUGGCUUACCAAGGCUUUGACGGGUAGCCGGCCUGAGAGGGUGACCGGCCACAUUGGGACUGGGAUACGGCCCAGACUCCUACGGGAGGCAGCAGUGGGGAAUAUUGCACAAUGGGCGGAAGCCUGAUGCAGCAACGCCGCGUGCGGGAUGACGGCCUUCGGGUUGUAAACCGCUUUCGCCUGUGACGAAGCGUGAGUGACGGUAAUGGGUAAAGAAGCACCGGCUAACUACGU
rnacentral:rRNA from 1 species